GCUUAGGUGGCAGAGCCCGGAUAAUGCAAAAGACCUAAGCCCUUUUAACAGGGGUUCAAAUCCCCUCCUAAACU
rnacentral:tRNA from 1 species